GAACGAGGUGUGUGGAAGGUAACGGAAGCACAUUUAGUGGCGAACGGGUGAGGAAUAGAUAGGUAACGUACCCUGGACACAGGAAUAGCGGCGUCCCGACUUGUCGGGACUUUGCGUAAGUGCCGGUAAUACCUGAUGACAUCACUGGACCGCAUGGUCCGGUGAUCAAAGGUCCGCAGGUCUGGGAGCGGCCUAUCUCCUAUCAGCUUGUUGGUGGGGUAACGGCCUACCAAGGCUUCGACAGGUACCAGGCGUGAGAGCGCGAUCUGGCACAUCGGGACUGAGACACUGCCCGGACAUCUACGGAUGGCUGCAGCAACGAAUAUUCCGCAAUGGGCGAAAGCCUGACGGAGCGACGCCGCGUGUAGGAUGAAGCACUUCGGUGUGUAAACUACUGUCAGGGGUUAGGAAGAAAGUGACCAACCCCAAAGGAAGCCUCGGCUAACUCCGUGCCAGCAGCCGCGGUAAUACGGAGGAGGCAAGCGUUGUUCGGAAUUACUGGGCUUAAAGCGUGCGUAGGCGGGAUGGCAGGUGUCGUGUGAAAGCCCUCGGCUCAACCGAGGAACUGCUCGGCAAACCGUCAUUCUUGAGGCCAGCAGGGGGACCUGGAACUUUGGGUGGAGCGGUGAAAUGCGUAGAUAUCCAAG
rnacentral:rRNA from 1 species